UACGAGGGGUGCAAGCGUUGCUCGGAAUUAUUGGGCGUAAAGGGUAGGUAGGUGGUCUCAUUUGUCUGGGGUGAAAGCCUUGAGCUUAACUCAAGAAGUGCCCUAGAAACGGUGAGACUGGAGUCUUGGAGAGGGUCGUGGAAUUCCCGGUGUAGCGGUGAAAUGCGUAGAGAUCGGGAGGAGCACCAGCGGCGAAAGCGGCGACCUGGACAAGUACUGACACUCAACUACGAAAGCGUGGGGAGCAAACAGG
rnacentral:rRNA from 1 species